rnacentral:ncRNA from 1 species
UGUGGCGCAGGUAAACUCAUCGAAAGGUGAGGACACAAAGCCACGGGUCCUCGUCGCAGAUUUAUGAAAGGAUAGCCGGGUUGCCAAGA